AGUUGCAAUCUGCUGAAUCCAGGACUCGAACCAAGAGUCUGAAUAUGGCUUCAAAGAUUCGACAAGAACAAAAAGCAUCAAACAGCAGAAUCAGAAGGAAAAAAAUGAACAAGGAUGAAAAGAGCAAGGUCUCUGGACACAGUCAAGAAGAAAGAUUACUGGCCACUGAAAGGGAUGCCCAUUCAAGUUCUGAGAAGACAGAAAAGCAAUAAAGUGAUGAAUCAAUAGGAAAAAUACUCUGCUAAGAGAAUGAAGAGAAUUGAACCACUUACGUUCUCAAAAGGAUUAUGAGUUUUUAUAUGAAAAGCUGAGCAAUACUUCAAACUGCACAGAGCAUCUGGAGAAAGUCAGAGUGGAGCUGAAAGACAGGGGCCUACAGAUUAGCUCUCCACUUGCUUCUUGUUGAAACUGUUGGAUCUUCCAUGUACCCCACAUUAUAAAGCCCCUCUGACUGACAGGAGGGCAGACAGAAUGUUCUGAGGAAGUCCAAGAUCAAACUGGAAACAGAUUUGGUGUCUUGUGAGAGCUUGGUUUUUGUUGCCAAGAUGACAUCUUAAAUGCUGCUUCCUUC